rnacentral:rRNA from 1 species
GCAGCCGCGGUAACACCGGCAGCUCUAGUGGUAGCUGUUUUUAUUGGGCCUAAAGCGUUCGUAGCCGGUUUGAUAAGUCUCUGGUGAAAUCCUGUAGCUUAACUGUGGGAAUUGCUGGUGAUACUGUUGAACUUGAGGUCGGGAGAGGUUAGCGGUACUCCCAGGGUAGAGGUGAAAUUCUGUAAUCCUGGGAGGACCACCUGUGGCGAAGGCGGCUAACUGGAACGAACCUGACGGUGAGGGACGAAAGCUAGGGGCGCGAACCGGAUUAGAUACCCC